UACGGAGGGUGCAAGCGUUAUCCGGAUUUACUGGGUUUAAAGGGUGCGUAGGUGGAUAAUUAAGUCAGUGGUGAAAUCUUCAGGCUUAACCUGGAAACUGCCAUUGAUACUAUUUAUCUUGAAUACUUUGGAGGUAAGCGGAAUAUGUCAUGUAGCGGUGAAAUGCUUAGAUAUGACAUAGAACACCAAUUGCGAAGGCAGCUUACUACACAGUAAUUGACACUGAGGCACGAAAGCGUGGGAUCAAACAGG
rnacentral:rRNA from 1 species